rnacentral:rRNA from 1 species
UACGUAGGGACCGAGCGUUGUCCGGAUUCAUUGGGAGUAAAGAGCUCGUAGGCGGCUAUUCAAGUCGAACGUGAAAUCUCGGAGCUCAACUCCGAAACUGCGUUCGAUACUGGGUAGCUAGAGUCUGGUAGGGGGAUCUGGAAUUCCUGGUGUAGCGGUGGAAUGCGCAGAUAUCAGGAGGAACACCGGUGGCGAAGGCGGGAUCCUGGGCCAGUACUGACGCUGAGGAGCGAAAGCGUGGGGAGCAAACAGG